UUCGUGAGUGUUCAUUACACACACAGUGCUGCAAUCCAUCUCACUAAAGCUAAAGCAUACCAUGACACAGUAGAGGUCUGGGCAGAAAACAAAAAACAACCUUUCAGGAGGAAAGAAAUAGAAGAGGACCGUCCUGAAGCAGACUCUGAGACAAACACUGAGACAGAAAUGGAUUGAUUAGGGUCUAUGGUCCUCUAUCCUCACCUGUGGACCCUGCUCCGUGGUGGGAUCGAAGGGGCUUCCUACUGUCCUCCUCUUGGCCCUCUCCACACUCCUGCGCACAAACUCCUCAUAGAUGGGCUCUUCCACGAAGAUACGAGAGCCUGCAGUGCAGCACUGGCCUGCAUUGAAGAACACUCCCUGGUGGGCCUGCUCCACAGCUAGAUCCACUGAAGAAGAGGAAGAAGAGAGAUAGAGAGAAGACCAGCGCUGGGAGAAGAUAGAGGGAGUCCCCCCAGUGGAAAAGAGUGAUGCCUCAUCUCUUUGCACGAACAAUGUUUAACACUGGAAUGUCUCACUUUCCCAAUAUUGCCAGACUGCGUUAUUCUGUGUUAGGAAAUGAGCAGGGCAGCCUGCUGAGUGUUCUGGUUGGAGUGGUAGAGCAGCUGUGUGAUAGGGACAACAGGACAAACCUUCCUCUGGCAGGCAAGCAGCAGGCAGGCAGGCUGCACGCUCUCUAAAGCUGUCCUGGCUGUCGCUUUCUUUGAUGGCGGGGUUCAAGGGGUGAUGACUAACAUGACGUUAGCAUGCAUUCACUGAAGUGUAAAGGAGACACGGUGGGCUGGCUCCCACUUGGGCCGCUACUGUGGAGAGUCACGGCCCUGAGUGUGUGUGAGUACAAGGAUGAAGGACCACUGACUCAAUGGCCACCUGAAACCGCACCCCCUUCAAGCCUCUACCCAUCCACCCCCUCUACCCCCUCCAGCCUCUCUGGGGAUGCUGUGUCCACUGUCCCCUCUAGCCCGGUGUGACUGAAACCCAAGGUGACUCACUGUCUGGGCAUCUACAUUCUCUCACAGCAGCGCUUCAUACACUCUGUAAUUGACUCCAGAUCACAGGAAACAACAACAGAGAAAGCAGUUAAAGACAACUGGCCACUUUUUGGGGAAAUGUUCUGUAACCGCCGAUGGUGAAAGAAAAAGAGGAAGGCUCGUAUGUGUGUGCUGCCUGGUAGCAUGUAAAGUGAUGGUGGAGAAAGCCCUGUGGAUGUUCAUUGGUUAGGUAAUGGAGCAUUGAUCAAAUUAUUAAAUGACUUAAGUUCGGGCUGCAUGAAUGGACUCUGAGGAUCAAUUGAAACCCUAUUCACCCUCAUUAACUGUAUUGCUGCAUUCAGGUUCUCAUUAAUAACCGUUCAGAUGAUUUGGACAUCUGAGUCUUUGUCAUCCGUACAGGGCUUGACAGAGAUGUUGUAACAAAAAUAAAUAAAUAAACAAAUCCCUUAUAUUCUCAAUAAAGGCCUGGAUUUGAUUCAACCACACAAUUUAAAUAAAUGUUUUUC